AUGACCUUCAGGAUUCUUCUCUAUGUUUUCCCGUGUCUUGUGGAAACUGUACUCAUGAACAGUAAAAUUACUCAGACACCAAGAUAUCUAGUCAUGGGAAGAGCAAAUAAUAAGUCUUUGGAAUGUGACCAACGCCUGGGACAUAAUGCUAUGUACUGGUAUAAACAGAGCACUAAGAAGCCCCUGGAGCUCAUGUUUCUCUACAGUCUUCAAAAAUUGAUUAGAAAUGAGACCGUGCCCAGUCAUUUCUUACCUGAAUGCCCAGAAAAGUCCAAGUUACUCCUACAUCUAUCUGCCCUGGAGCCAGCAGAUUCAGCUGUAUAUUUCUGUGCCAGCAGCCAAGACACAGCCCUGCAGACUUAUCAGCUCUCUGUACACAAACCUACAAGUUCAGGAAGCUGUGGAGCAAUUGAGGGCUACACUGAACAGUUCGUGUAG